rnacentral:rRNA from 1 species
ACGGGUGAGGAACACGUAGGAACCUGCCCAGGAGCGGGGGACAACCAUUGGAAACGAUGGCUAAUACCGCAUAAACUCGGAAGAGAAAAGUUGCUCGUAAGGGUGGCGCUUCUGGAGGGGCCUGCGUCCGAUUAGCUAGUUGGUAGGGUAAAAGCCUACCAAGGCGAUGAUCGGUAACUGGUCUGAGAGGACGACCAGUCACACUGGGACUGAGACACGGCCCAGACUCCUACGGGAGGCAGCAGUGGGGAAUAUUGGACAAUGGGGGCAACCCUGAUCCAGCGAUGCCGCGUGGGUGAAGAAGGCCUUCGGGUUGUAAAGCCCUUUAGGUUGGGAAGAAGGGUGAUGGAGGAAAUGCCAUCAUUUUGACGGUACCGACAGAAUAAGCACCGGCAAACCCUGUGCCAGCAGCCGCGGUAAUACAGAGGGUGCGAGCGUUAAUCGGAGUUACUGGGCGUAAAGGGCGCGUAGGCGGAUAGACAAGUGUGAUGUGAAAGCCCCGGGCUUAACCUGGGAAGUGCAUCGCAAACGAUCUAUCUGGAGUAGAUGAGAGGGUGGCGGAAUUUCCGGU